GUGGGCAUAGCUCAGCUGGAUAGAGCGUCUGGCUACGGACCAGAAGGUCGGGAGUUCGAAUCUUCUUGCCCACG
rnacentral:tRNA from 1 species